CUGUCUUUUGUUACAGGAGUCUGUCUCACCUACAAACUUAUGAGGGUCACAGAAAACACCCACAAACUUAUGAGGAUCAUGGAAAACACCCCUACCCCAACUUAGAGCCAAUCUAUUCAAGCUGCAUUGUUAGCACGUCACCUCUCCUGGAUCUCUGCCUAUAGUGACCAGUUAAGAAUGGAAGGAGGAGAUUUUUCAGCUUUUGAAGUCCACAUGCCUUCAAGGAAAUUCUUCAAAAACAGCCAAGAUAUUUUAUGAUGAGGAGCUACAGAACAGGGUACAUGCCCCACAGUCUUCAAUACUUUUUAUUAUUGUUUCAAAAAAACUGGAUAAAUUCAUUGUGAACAUCACAGACUUGAAAGUCAUUCUUACCAUGCCUUUGAGAAUGUCUAUGGUUAUCAUAGCCAUCAUUUCAAAGGAAAAGAAUUCUUUAACUAUUAUUGUAUAUACAAUUUUGAAUUAAAAAAAUCAAGUUACAUUGUUAUUGAAAUUAA